rnacentral:rRNA from 1 species
GAUGAACGCUGGCGCCGUGCCUAAUACAUGCAAGUCGAGCGAACAGAUGAGGAGCUUGCUCCUCUGACGUUAGCGGCGGACGGGUGAGUAACACGUGGAUAACCUACCUAUAAGACUGGGAUAACUUCGGGAAACCGGAGCUAAUACCGGAUAAUAUAUUGAACCGCAUGGUUCAAUAGUGAAAGACGGUUUUGCUGUCACUUAUAGAUGGAUCCGCGCCGCAUUAGCUAGUUGGUAAGGUAACGGCUUACCAAGGCAACGAUGCGUAGCCGACCUGAGAGGGUGAUCGGCCACACUGGAACUGAGACACGGUCCAGACUCCUACGGGAGGCAGCAGUAGGGAAUCUUCCGCAAUGGGCGAAAGCCUGACGGAGCAACGCCGCGUGAGUGAUGAAGGUCUUCGGAUCGUAAAACUCUGUUAUUAGGGAAGAACAAAUGUGUAAGUAACUAUGCACGUCUUGACGGUACCUAAUCAGAAAGCCACGGCUAACUACGUG